rfam:Oryza rufipogon genomic scaffold, chr04
AAUAAGCACAGUUGUGGGUUUCAGUGCCCAACUUUGACCAUCCGUCUUAUUUGAAAUAUGAUUAGUAUUUUUAUUGUUGUUAGAUGGUAAAAUAUGAAUAGUACUCUAUGUGAGACUUAACUUUUAAAAUUUUUUCAUAAAAUUUUCAAAUAAGACGAACGGUCAAACAUUGGGCACGGAAAUUUAUGGCUGCACUUAUA